GUCUAUCAUGAAUACAAGACACAAUAUAUGUGGUGGGAUUCACAUAUUUGUGUCUUGAAUCCAUAAUGAAUAAAAAGUGAGGUAGGUUUUGCCAAGAUAAGAAAUUCUUGCCUAUAACUGGUCCAUCAUGAACUCAAAACACAGCAUUCAUGAUGAGACUCAUACAUCCAAAGCCAAAGAAAACACAGCUACUCACAUAAAAGGAAAGAAAAUAGAACAACAC
rnacentral:misc_RNA from 1 species